CCCCCCCCCCCGGGCGGCGCCGGAUUUGCCACCUCGCCCCCCCCUCCCGGGGCGCCAGAUCUGCUGCCCGCCGCCCCCCCACCCCCACUCAUCUUGAUCGGUUUCAGUGAUUUUUAUUUUCGAUUUUGGCGGUUCGCAGGAGAAAUUUGGGUGGACGGACGAACGUGCGCAGCGCACACGGCUCAGAAGGCCACACCAUGCACAAUCAUGUCUGGAGAUCGCGGUGUAGCCAAGUUUAAUUUCAACUGCGGUCAAUAUGGAGUAGCCCUAUCUAAUGGGGUUUUUACAGCUACAGUUUCUUUUUACUUCGUCAAUUAUUUUUUUCCUGACAUCCUAGUUCUCCCCUUCUAUUGAUAUCGUUCUCUUUUUUAUUUUUGUUUUUUUAUCAGUGCGGCGCAUUACACAGAUCUACGCAAGAAAGCUGUGGACAUGUAUUAUGUUACAGAUGCGUACAACAUCACGAGGAAGACUUCAAACAUGUUAUUUUUCGAGCACGUUACCUCGAUGAUAUCAUUGCAAGUGAUACUUUUGUUUCCUUUAAUGAGGGAUGUGGUCACGAUAUAUCUACACCACAUUAUACUCAACAUCAGAUGGUGUGCCCGUACAAAAGACUUAGAUGUCCAAUGUGCAGUCAAUGGUUCACCUCGAUUGCACUGAGCUCACAUCCUCUGAGACGGUAUCAACGGUAUCAGUUCAACUAUUGCCAGCUAGAGUACGGUGCUCUCGUCACUGGUAAUGACAUCUCCAAGUGGGGAGGGUGUGUUUUUAGGGGUAGAGGGGAAGAUUUUGUGUUCUUUAUUGCAGGCAUAUCCUUUUAUUUUCUCUAGCUUGAUGCAUCAACUGCUGCUUCGUCUCAAGUGCCUGCUAAUAUCAAACUGCUGGUGUCUCUGAUUAUAGCUCAGACUCUCCAGGAAAGUGGGUCCUAUGCAGAUCCACCGCUACCUAGUAGUAUGGACGUUGUUUAUCUCUUUAACUUCGGACAUCUCACUGCAGAAAAUGCUUUUAAGAUUUCUGUAUUGAUAGGUUAGUUGUUUAUAUAUAUGUCUUUAUUUGUCCGUUGGCUGAAUUUAAAUUGGAGUGAGUGUUCAUCCUCAAUAGUUAAGUGAAGAUGAACACUCACUCCACCAAUUUAAGUUCAGCCAACGGACAAACAAAGAUAUACAUAUAAACAACUAACCUAUCAAUACAGAAAUCUUAAAAGCAUUUUCUGCGGUGAGAUGUCUGAAGUCAAAGAGAUGAACAACGUCCAUACUCCUAGGUAGCGGUGGAUCUGCAUAGGACCCACUACCCUGGAGAGUCUGAGCUGUGACCAGAGACACCAACAAUUUGAUAUUAGCAGGCCCUUGAGACAAAGCAGCAGCUGAUGCACCAAACCAGAGAAAAUAAAGGGAUGUGCCUGCAAUAAAGAACACAAAGUCUUCCCCUCUACCCCUAAAAACACACCCUUCCCACUUGGAGAUGUCAUAACCAGUGACGAGAGCACUGUACUCUAGCUGACAAUGGUUGAACUGAUAUUAUCUCAGAAGAUGUGAGCUCAGUGCAAUCGAGGUGAACCAUUGACUAAAUAUUGGACAUUUAAGUGUUUUGUACGGGCACACCAUCUGAUGUUGAGUAUAAUGUGGUGUAGAUAUAUCUUGACCACAUCCCUCAUUAGAGCAAACAAAAGUACCAUUUGCAAUGAUAUCAUCGAGGUAACGUGCUCGAAAAAUAAUAUGUUUCAAGUCUUCCUCGUGAUGUUGUGCGCAUCUGUAACAUAAUAUAUGUCCACAGCUUUCUUGCGUAGAUGUGUGUGAUGCACCGCACUGAUAAAAAGCAAAAAUGAAAAAGAGAACGAUAUCAAUAGAAGGGGAGAACUAGAAUGCCAGGAGAAAAAUGAUUAACGAAGUAAAAAGAAACUGUAGCUGUGAAAGCCCCAUUAGAUAGGGCUACUCCACAUUGACCGUAGUUGAAAUUAAGCUUGGCUACACCGCAACCUCCAGAUAUGACUGUGCGUGGUGUGGCCUGCAAAUACGUGACCAGACAGAACCAAUUAUAUGCAAAUUAUAGAUGUACACAAAGAAUGAUGCUAACACCAAAAAGACUAAGUCAAUUAAAAGUAGCUAGUCACAGCUGUAAAGGUUCAAGGAAGAUAUAAUCAAAUGCAACAAUGAAUAUUUUUGAGAAAAAGCAAAUGAUAAUUAUGUUGUUCUAUACAACAGAGGGCUGCCAAUGAGAAGAAGAGAUUUUGCGCAAGAACAAGAAGAGUGGAAGGUUCCAGGGAGGUUCCGGUAAUUCCUUAGGAGCUUUCAGUAAAUGCUAUGGAGGUUCCCGUAAUUCCCAGUGAGGUUCUGGUAAUUCCUAGGGAGCUUUCCAUAAAUACUAAGGAGGUUCCCAUAAUUCCUAGGGUGGUUCCUUUAAAUUCCAGGGAGCUAUAUGUAAAUCCUAGGGAGGUUUCGGUAAAUAUCAAGGACCUAUCCAUAUAUCCUAAGGAGGUUCCUGUAAUUCCCACGGAGGCGUCCGUAAAUCUCAGGGAGGUUUCGAUAAUUCCUAGGGAGGUUCCUGUAAAUCCUAGGGAGGUUCCGGUAAAUUCCCAUGGAGGUGUCCGUAAAUCUCAAGGAGGUUUCUGUAAUUCCUCGGGAGGUUCCUGUAAAUUUAGGGAGGUUCUUGUAAAAUCCAGGGAGCUGUCCGUAAAUCCUGGGGAGAUUCCUGUAAA